CCCUACCUUUCAUAUUGGCUUC
rnacentral:siRNA from 1 species